rnacentral:lncRNA from 1 species
AAUGAAUAAUAAAAUAAUUAAAUAUUUCCAUGUGUUGAUCAUCGAUUUCAAUUUUAAAUAAUGACACACCUUGUUCUCUUUCCCAUUCAUUCCAGAUAGUCUCGUAAUCGGUGAACGAUUGUUGUCACAGCAAAAAAUCGGGUUGAAUGAAACUGGAACAGAGUGUAUGUUCGUUAAGUCGACAAGCAAAAACUACCGGAUGAAUGGCUGGAUACUGUACAAGGCAUCCUUCUCGAGUGGGACGAGGGAUCCGCAGAUGAAGAAGAAAGAGAAUAAGAUCGUAUCUGGAAACUUCAAAACCCUUCAUCUAUGAAAACUUGAACUUGUAGUAGCAGUUUUCAGUGAUAACCCAUAUUCUCUUCCAAUUAAUUUACAUAAUUAUGUACGAACAAUUAACCUAACCUAACUUAUAUAUCGUUUAAGAUUAGAAGAAAAAAGUGGAAGGAUAUACGCUUCAACACAAUCACUGAACGUGAUGCCUUUCAUGAUCUUUUUUAAUUUUGCAAAUGUAUUUAACACGGUCACACGAAUAUUCGAUUGUAUGAAAGUGGAACGAAAACGUGUGCUUUCUGAGAACGAGUUGGUUUUUAGAAGUCGAAAUCAACAGCCGCAUUUCGCGUUAAAGGAGGUGAAAUAAAGCAAUUACAAUUUUGGCGACUAUCCAACAGGGUUCUCAUUGAAGGGUUUUUCUCAAAGCGGACAUGACUAAUAUAUCUUGUAAUUACAUGCAUGUGUACACGUUUCAAGACAUUUACGAGAAUACAAAUUGCCUGUUAACGCUAAUGCUUGUAAUAAAACAAAGGAAAUAAGAUAUUGAUCUUACAUGCCAGUAAAUAUAUCAUUUUAAAUUUAAACGAAUAUUGAGCAACUUUAAAUGCUUGUUUCUUUUCUUAUAUAAUUGUAUAUAGAAUCGUAAUAGAACAAUCUAGUAUAAAGAUAUUUAAAUAUAUAAAUAUAAUCGAGAUAUAUUCUUUUUAAAUAUUAAUAGAUAUUUAAAUAGUUGAAAAGCGUGUAAACGUUCAAAUGAAUUGAAAUUGUGCUAAGGAAAGAAAAAAAAGAAAUUAAUAUUCAUAUUCUGAAAAAUGGUAUCUUGUGUGGAACGUUCAAAAGAAAUAAAAAAAAUUUCAGAAGUUUCAAUUUUAUGUUGUGAAACAUAAAAUCAUCUUGUAAAAUUUUAAUUUUUUAUGGUUUUUACAUGUUCUCAUAGUUAUAUAAAUAAUUAACAUGAGAGAUAGAAGCAAUAGAAAGUUCGCGUCUGUAGCAAUGAUAGAAAUCAAAUAAGUACUUGCGUAUUCCAAAUAUAGAACGCGUUACGAGAAUAGAAAUUAAACUCAACACGUGGUCUCAUGUAGUACGAUGAGCCGGUGGUUCACCUCGUCUGUUGUUUUUAAAAGAGAUCAUCCAGAAUGUAAUAAAGAAUCAAACAAUUUUCGAAUUUUUUACAUAGAAAAUUCAUAUUUUAUAAUUUUAUUAAUAUUUAUAAACUCAUAAACUAAUUGAUUGGUCUAGAUGUAUGAUUAAUUCGCGAAAAAAAUCAUUUAUCAAUUGGUGAAAUAACUUAUAUCGAUAAGGAUAACGGAUAACUAUAUAAAAGUGAUAAUUUAUGAAAUACGUUGCGAGAAUAGAAACAGAGUUCAAUACACGAUCUAUAAUACAGUCUUUGUCGAUAGCUCGCCCCACAUAUUGAACACGGCAGAUGCUGGGGUCGAUAUACUUACGGUAUAGGUUAUACAUAUUCCGCAUAUACGAUGUACAUACUCUGAUUCAUUCGCCGUGACGAAAGAUAGAACUACAUAAUCAUCGCGCAGCAUAGAAUAAUUAUUAAUAUCUUUCGUGCAAGAAUAAUAUUAUGAAUAAAUCAAAAAGAAAUAGUGAUCGAUGUGCAAAAAAUAGCAGGAUAAAAGUAUCAAGGUUUCGCAUGUGUAAGUCCGGAUGUAACUGCACACGGUCGUAUAUUUAUGUACCGCUCCAUAUUUUUUCAAGUUCAAGUUCAUUUAAAG